UACGGGGGGGAGCAAGCGUUGUUCGGAUUUACUGGGCGUAAAGGGCGCGUAGGCGGCCACCGCAAGUCGAUUGUGAAAUCUCCGGGCUUAACCCGGAAAGGUCAACCGAUACUGCGGGGCUAGAGUGCAGAAGGGGCAACUGGAAUUCUCGGUGUAGCGGUGAAAUGCGUAGAUAUCGGGAGGAACACCAGUGGCGAAGGCGGCUCACUGGUCCGGUACUGACGCUGAGGUGCGAAAGCGUGGGGAGCAAACAGGG
rnacentral:rRNA from 1 species